rnacentral:rRNA from 1 species
UACGUAGGGUGCGAGCGUUAAUCGGAAUUACUGGGCGUAAAGCGUGCGCAGGCGGUUCGUUGUGUCGGCGGUGAAAGCCCCGGGCUCAACCUGGGAAUGGCCGUUGAAACUGGCGAACUGGAGUGUGGCAGAGGGGGGUGGAAUUCCGCGUGUAGCAGUGAAAUGCGUAGAGAUCGGAAAGAACACCAACGGCGAAAGCACUCUGCUGGGCCGACACUGACACUGAGAGACGAAAGCUAGGGGAGCGAAUGGG